GGUUGAUCCUGCCUGCAGAAUAAGCUUGUCUCAAAGAUUAAGCCAUGCAUGUCUGAGAAUAAGUAUCCACUUGUGCGAAUCUGCGUACAGCUCAUUACAACAGUCUGAAUUUCCUUGAAGAUUUCACCUUACUACACGGCCUACCCGUAGUAAUUCUAGAGCUAAUACGUGCGUCGAGCCUUCUUUGCGGGAGGUGUCGUGAUUAGAUCCAAGCCCACUGUCCUGUCAAAGGGACUUUUAGUGGAUGAUUCAUAGUUACCAACAUCGAACGCGCUUGCAAAAGCUGCGUGGUU
rnacentral:rRNA from 1 species